AUGUCCUUUAUCAGUGAACUUGUGAAAGAUGUCUCAAAGAACUGCACUGUUGGUGGCUCAACAAUCAUUUACUGUACCACCAUCCGGGACACUGAACAGGUACAUGAAGCAAUGAUCACUGCUGGAAUCAAAGCUAACAUUUACCAUGGUAAAAUGGGUAGCAAAGCUAGAGAGGAAUCCCAUAGAUCAUUUGUUAGAGAUGAAGUACUUGUGAUGGUGGCAACUAUUGCAUUUGGAAUGGGAAUUGACAAGCCAGAUGUUAGAUGUGUAAUACACUAUGGAUGUCCUAAGAGCCUAGAAUCGUACUACCAGGAAAGUGGGCGUUGUGGAAGAGAUGGACUGCCUUCAGUGUGCUGGCUAUAUUACCAAAGAAGUGAUUUUGCAAAAGCUGACUUCUAUUGUUCUGAAGCAACAAAUGCAACUCAAAGGAAUGCCAUCAUGGAUUCCUUCAUGUCAGCACAGAAAUAUUGCCUCCUUGCUACAUGUCGCAGAAAAUCCCUGCUGCAGUACUUUGGUGAAGAGCGUUACACCGACUGUGGCCCAAGUCACUGC
rnacentral:rRNA from 1 species